UGGGGAAUUUUGGACAAUGGGGGAAACCCUGAUCCAGCCAUCCCGCGUGUGCGAUGAAGGCCUUCGGGUUGUAAAGCACUUUUGGCAGGAAAGAAACGUCAUGGGUUAAUACCCCGUGAAACUGACGGUACCUGCAGAAUAAGCACCGGCUAACUACAUGCCAGCAGCCGCGGUAAUACGUAGGGUGCAAGCGUUAAUCGGAAUUACUGGGCGUAAAGCGUGCGCAGGCGGUUCGGAAAGAAAGAUGUGAAAUCCCAGAGCUCAACUUUGGAACUGCAUUUUUAACUACCGGGCUAGAGUGUGUCAGAGGGAGGUGGAAUUCCGCGUGUAGCAGUGAAAUGCGUAGAUAUGCGGAGGAACACCGAUGGCGAAGGCAGCCUCCUGGGAUAACACUGACGCUCAUGCACGAAAGCGUGGGGAGCAAACAGG
rnacentral:rRNA from 1 species